AAGCGUCGAAAGGAAGCGAAAAUGAAAGAGAUGAAAGAGAUGCUUGUAUCUGCUACUUCUACUUCACCUGGCUGUGCUCUGAAGAAGGACACCAGAGAUAAAAACCCUGGACGGAUCAGUGCUCUGGGAAUCUAUAUAACGGCUGUGUUGGG